AAGAAAAAGUGUGGGAUUUCAAGGGAUUAAGCUAAUAAAGGCCCGAGGUAGCUUGUGGAUAGCAGAUAUCGUCAAGGAUUAUAGUCAGCUUUACUACUCCAAAAACUAUAGGUUUACUGCCUUUGUGCACUUUUGUUCCUUGUGGGCCCACGAGUCACUGUAAAGUUAUGGUGCGCGGAUUGUACUUACUAUGCCUCGGAGAGACAGUGAUUCCGAUACCUAACAUUGUACUAGUGAAAGAUCAAUAGAUUCCACUGCUGAAAACCGAUGUCGUUCUGAACCCAGUAAUCUAGAAAGAUAUCCGUUUAGAGUUCCUAUUAAUUGGACUCUAUCGAAUUUGGGAGCGAAGGUUCAGAUAAAGGAAAGCACUAGUACUAGUGCGACUGAUGAAAGUGUUUAUAGUAACGACGUUAAUGAAGGCAUAAGAAAUUUCAUCUUGAAAGAAAUUGAGGAAUGUAGGAAAAUCCAACAGGCUCGGAUUGAAGAAACAAAAAAAAAAAAAAAAGCUCCAAAAGAAUCCGAAAGAGGAUCAGGGUGAUGGUGACCAUAAAGAUACUUAGUGUUUUGUUGAAGUUGUACUACUUUAACUCUAGAUGGAUGUAGUAUAAAGGAAAUAGUAACUACCUGUAUAAAGGAAUUAAGAGUUGACUUUUAUUUUAUAUAAUGUGAAUGAAGUAGUUGUUUAAAUGACUGGAUAUGUGUAUAUGGGAACCU